rnacentral:rRNA from 1 species
CAGUAGCCGCGGUAAUACGUAGGUGGCAAGCGUCGUCCGGAAUUAUUGGGCGUAAAGCGUGCGUAGGCGGUGAGUUAAGUCUGCUGUGAAAUCCCCGGGCUCAACCUGGGAAUGGCAGUGGAUACUGGCUCGCUAGAGUGUGUCAGAGGAUGGUGGAAUUCCCGGUGUAGCAGUGAAAUGCGUAGAGAUCGGGAGGAACAUCAGUGGCGAAGGCGGCCAUCUGGGACAACACUGACGCUGAGGCAUGAAAGCGUGGGGAGCAAACAGGAUUAGAUACCCCAGUAGUCCCUGUCUCUUAUAC